rnacentral:rRNA from 1 species
GACGAACGCUGGCGGCGUGCUUAACACAUGCAAGUCGAGCGGUAAGGCCCUUUCGGGGUACGACGAGCGGCGAACGGGUAGGAGUAACAACGUGGGUGGACCUCGCCCUCCAGCUCUGGGAGUAAGCCCGGGAAACCGUAGGUCGUAAUACUGGAUAUGACUCCAUGACGCAUGUUGUGGGGUGGGAAAGACCUUGUGCGGCUGAGGA